CCCUUAGAUGUUCUCGGCCGCACACGCGCUACACUGAAAGAGGCAACGUGUUUGCCUGAUUCGAAAGAAUUGGGUAACCCCCUAAUCUCUUUCGUGCUGGGGAUUGAGGUUUGCAAUUAUCCUUCAUGAACGAGGAAUUCCCAGUAAGUGCGAGUCAUUAUCUCGCGCUGACUACGCCCCUGCCCUUUGUACACACCGCCCGUCGCUACUACCGAUUGAAUGAUUUAGUGAGGACUUCGGACUGAGUCCAAUGCGGCUUUCGGGCUGCGUUGGUAUUUCGGAAAGAUGUCCAAACUGUAUCAUUUAGAGGAAGUAAAAGUCGUAACA
rnacentral:rRNA from 1 species